rnacentral:rRNA from 1 species
AUUGAACGCUGGCGGCAGGCCUAACACAUGCAAGUCGAGCGAGCGGCGGACGUGUGAGUAAUGCCUGGGAAUUGCCCAGUCGAGGGGGAUCACAGUUGGAAACGACUGCUAAUCCCGCAUACGAGUGGGUUGCCAAGGUGGGAUUAGCUAGUUGGUGGGGUAAUGGCCCACCAAGGCGACGAUCCCUAGCUGGUCUGAGAGGAUGAUCAGCCACACUGGGACUGAGACACGGUCCGGACUCCUACGGGAGGCAGCAGUGGGGAAUAUUGCACAAUGGGGGAAACCCUGAUGCAGCCAUGCCGCGUGUGUGAAGAAGGCCUUCGGGUUGUAAAGCACUUUCAGCGAGGAGGCGUUACUCGCAGAAGAAGCACCGGCUAACUCCGUGCCAGCAGCCGCGGUAAUAC